rnacentral:tRNA from 1 species
AGAGACUUAGGUUAAACAUUAAACCGAGGGCCUUCAAAGCCCUAAAUAGAGCCACCUCUAGUCCCUG